AGGGUCACAGCUAUAAGGAAUUGGCCUUGAGUCUUAGAUGAAACUUUGAAUAUUGGACAUUUGAGUUGAUGCUGGAACAAGGUAAGAGUUUUGAAGACUAUGGGAUGCACUAACUAUACUCAACACUAAAAGGACUAAGACACUGGCUCUUCAAGGGGGAGAAAGAUUAUCCUUGCUAUCACCAGCGUUCCAGGAUGAAGAAAUCCGGUAAUACAUUCAGGCUACUGGAAUGGCCUCCAGUACAUCAGUGAAUGCCAGUGGAAUGCAACUUCUUUUGCUUUAGAAGAUAAGCUUUUAGCAAUGUCAAGUUUCCAGGUACAACUGAGAGAUAUUUAACACAUUAUUAUUUCCACCAAGAUGGGGAAAAUUUCCUAGAGCUCAUUUCUUUUGACAGCAGAGAAGUAUCCAAGUUCUUCUAGAAAAUAAACGAAGUUUUCCUCAAGUUCUGUAUUAUAUGAGACUGCUGUUUCCAAAAAUUAAAUUCCCACAACAACCUAGAAAGUUUAGAGAUCUCUAUUUGAUUUUUUCAUCUUGCUAAAUAUUCUUCAAAUCAAAUAUCAGUUGUCCCUGUCACUCAGAAUGAAGAAAAAUGGUUUUAAUGAGGACCUGGAGAAGUAAGCUGACUCCUGCCUUUCCAGACUCCAGAGCUAAAACAAAUACAUUUCUGUUGUUUAUAAGCUACCCAGAUUAUGGGGCCCAGGGAAGGCAAGGUUACGUUUAGUUUUUUACAUACUUUUUACUUUUAGCUUUUUAAUAUGUGUUUGUGUAUAUGUAUCUGUGAGAUAGAAAAAAAUUGUCAUUAUUCAUCAUAGAGUUAAAAUAGAUUAAGAAUUUAAACUUUUCUACAAAAAUUUAAUUCAAGUUUUAGUGAGAAAGUAAAGUAAUAAAUGUAUAUAAAACAACUCUUCCGAGAGGACAUCUGUCCUGGCAGGUGAGACACUGAUGGCUAUGUGCUGCACUGAGAAGGCAAGUGUAACUGGCAUACUCAGUAGUAUCUUCAUAUGCUUCUUUUGGAAAAAGGUCAUCAAACCGAAGUAUGGCUUACUGACUAAGGCCGUUGCUUGCGAUCCUGCCUCAUUUAUCUUCUUUAUGUUGUUGCUCUUCCAGGUAACCCUCUCCUUUUUAUUACUAGGUUUUUAUUUUCCAUCUCUGUAUUCCUUAGUAGAAGAGAAAGCAGAAAUGAGCUGGAAUCCAAUCUUUAUAGACUUUUCUACUGAAAAUAUGUAAGUGUCCUCCAAUACUAUGUGUUAUAUAAAAAAUCACUAACUAUAAAAUAAUUGUCAUGAAAACCCAACCUUCCUAUUGAGUGAUAGUUUUAACAAAGCAUCAAAAACAAAUUUAUUUCCAAUAAAAUGCUUGAUCUUUAUGCAUGCAUGCAUGUCAACUACUGAAUCUCCAAUCAGUGACCAUGAAUAAUACUUUUGUUUUUUGGCCUUGAACGUAUUGCAUAUGUUCUAGCCACUGACUCUUCCCGGUGGAAAUACUGAUUUUUCUCAUGAAAAACAAACAGCUCUUCAGUGAGGAAAUGUUAUGUGCCUCAUGAAGAAAUACUUUGGUCUGAAUGUUUGUGACCCCACCAAAUUUAUGGGUUCAAAUCCUAACCCCCAAGGUGAUGAUAAAAGGAGAUGGAGAUUUGGGGGAGGUGAUUUGGUAAUGGGAAUGGAACCCUCAUGAAAGGAAUUAAUAUCCUUAUGAAUGAGGGAUCAGAGAACUAACUUGUCCCUUUCACUAGACAAGCACACAGCAAGAAAACACCUUCUAGGAAUCAUGAAAUGGAUCCUCACUAGAUACUUCAUUGGCAGAUGUCUUGAUCUUGGACUUCUCAAGCUCCAGAACUAUAAAAAAUAAAUUUCUGUUGUUUAUAA